rnacentral:rRNA from 1 species
GACCUACGGGGGGCAGCAGUGGGGAAUAUUGGGCAAUGGGCGCAAGCCUGACCCAGCAACGCCGCGUGAAGGAAGAAGGCUUUCGGGUUGUAAACUUCUUUUAUGAGGGACGAAAGAAAUGACGGUACCUCAUGAAUAAGCCACGGCUAACUACGUGCCAGCAGCCGCGGUAAUACGUAGGUGGCAAGCGUUAUCCGGAUUUACUGGGUGUAAAGGGCGUGUAGGCGGGGACGCAAGUCAGAUGUGAAAACCACGGGCUCAACCUGUGGCCUGCAUUUGAAACUGUGUUUCUUGAGUACUGGAGG